UACGUAGGGUGCAAGCGUUGUCCGGAAUUAUUGGGCGUAAAGGGCUCGUAGGCGGUUUGUCGCGUCGGGAGUGAAAACUCAGGGCUUAACCCUGAGCCUGCUUCCGAUACGGGCAGACUAGAGGUAUGCAGGGGAGAACGGAAUUCCUGGUGUAGCGGUGAAAUGCGCAGAUAUCAGGAGGAACACCGGUGGCGAAGGCGGCCCGCCUGGGCAGGAAGACGGAGCAAUCCGUCGGCUGACGCUGAGGCGCGACAGCGUGGGGAGCAAACAGG
rnacentral:rRNA from 1 species